ensembl:lncRNA LINC01287 long intergenic non-protein coding RNA 1287
GCUCCCCUAAGGAAUUGCUAGAACAAGGAGACAAAAAGACAAAAACAAACAAUAAAAACACAAACACACAUUGAGGACAUAAACAUCUUGAACAACACUAUACCUUAGCUGACUUCAUUGACACAUAUAGAACACUCCAGCAGUGUACUAAACAUUCUUUUCACAUGUAACGAGAACAUUUAUAAAAGGAGACUAUAUUAAGGGGUGUUUACUGAGUAUCAAUACCUUUAUAAGCAGGAAUCAGCAAGCUACAGCCCAGUGGCCAAAUCCAGCCCACCACCCACUGCUGUAAUAAAGCUUUGCUGGAGCACAGCCAUGCAUGUUAUUUGUGCAUUAUCUAUGGCUGCUUUUGUACUACAAUGACAGAGCUAAGUAGUGGCUACAAAGAAUAUGAAUGGGCCCACAAAGCCUACACUCUCUCUACCUUCUGGCACUUUACAGAAAAAGUUUACUGACAGCUGGGCACAGUGGCCCAGACCUGUAAUCCCAGUACUUUGGGAAGCUGAGGAGGGAGGAUCACUUCAGACCAAGAGUUCGAGAUCAGCCUGGGCAACAUGGCAAAACCCCGUCUCUACUAAAAACACAAAAAUUAGCCAGGCUUAGUGGUGCUCACCUGUGGUCUCAACUACUCGGGAGGUUGAGGCACAAGAAUCACUUGAGCCUGCUAGGCAGAGGUUGCAGUGAGCCAUGAUUGUGCCACUGCACACCAGCCUGGAUUUUUAAAUCCUGCCAGAAAAAGUUGGCACAACUCAGUAACUAAUCAACAAAUAAAAAUUACAAAUAGUCAUUUUAUCAUAUUAAGAAUAUUUAUCCCUUGCAAAGUUAUAUUAUGUGGGAUCCCAUUUCAGAGACAAAUGAAGACACUCGACCAUCUCUAAAUGCUACCAAACACAUAGAGUCUACUCUGAAUGCAGAUACUGCUCUCAUAAAAAUUCUGCAAAGGAGGAAGGGGUUGGUGCAGAACUGUUCCGAUGCUGAUCAACUGAGAUGCAAAACCCAUGUUCACAUCAUGAGUGAGUCUUCUAACUCGGACAAUGCAAUCAACAAAUUCUAAGACCAAAUUCCGGUGGCACUGGCUCCAAAGCUCCUGAGUGUGGAAGGAGGUGAACAGGGAAAAGCAGAGAGGACAAAAGUCACAUCCCCUCCCCACAGACCCAUACUGGGGAAGGGUGGAAGAUUUAGCUGCGAGUCAAGUUCAGAAUUUUGAUUAACAUCUUGGCAUGCACAUUCGAAUUUCAGAAUCAAGACUGUUGGCCAUAAAAAAUGACUAUAGCCUUGUGUAUUACCUGAACUGAGCAGUAAAAAAAAAGUCAUGGUCCUUCUGGGGCUUUUAUUCUGAGACAGGAACCCUGAACAGGCAGGAGAAAGGGAAUGUUGACAGAGAAACAAAGACAGUUGGCGACACACGCUGACCGCCAUGCGGACGUCCAUCAAACCCAGCACUGGCCCUGGGUACGUGCGCCUUUGCUAUUACCCCAAUACAUUUUCUUCUGCAGAGCAAGCAACAGAACACAUGCAGACCUUAAUAAAUACCACUGGGUAAUGUGACAAUGGCCAAACUCUCCUCACGGGGGAGAGAGUGUCCCCCAGUUUUGCUCCCUUUUAAUUUCCAGGGUUCAUAAGUAGCUCUAAAGCUUUGCUCUACAAGGUUGAUACAUACGAUAUUAAUGUUUCCCCUAAGCAGUAUAACAUAAAUAUAUUUGCUAUCUUGA